rnacentral:rRNA from 1 species
GUGGGGAAUAUUGGACAAUGGGCGAAAGCCUGAUCCAGCCAUGCCGCGUGUGUGAAGAAGGUCUUCGGAUUGUAAAACACUUUAAGUUGGGAGGAAGGGCAGUAAGUUAAUACCUUGCUGUUUUGACGUUACCGACAGAAUAAGCACUGGCUAACUUCGUGCCAGCAGCCGCGGUAAUACGAAGGGUGCAAGCGUUAAUCGGAAUUACUGGGCGUAAAGCGCGCGUAGGUGGUUUUGUAAGUUGGAGGUGAAAUCCCCGGGCUCAACCUGGGAACUGCCUCCGAAACUGCAUGACUAGAGUACGGUAGAGGGUAGUGGAAUUUCCUGUGUAGCGGUGAAAUGCGUAGAUAUAGGAAGGAACACCAGUGGCGAAGGCGACUACCUGGACUGAUACUGACACUGAGGUGCGAAAGCGUGGGGAGCAAACAGGAUUAGAUACCCCGGUAGUCC